rnacentral:lncRNA from 1 species
UUGGCCUCCCAAAACACUGGGAUUGCAGGCUUGAGCCACCGCACCCGGCCUAUAUUUUUUAUUUCUUACCCUCCAAGGUAACUGAAUCUUAUAGUAACAGGUAUAUUUUGAACCAGGAGUAGAAACAUACUAAAUAUCUCAGGUUUUUAAUGAAUUUGAUAAUUACUGUGCCUUAAUACAUUAAGGAAAUUUUGAUGAUUAGAAAAACUUUGAAUACUGAAUUUGUUUUGUGAAAUGUAUAUAAGUAGUUCUAUUUUGUUUAUUAGUAGUAGCUAACAAGCAUGGGCAUUUCUUAUGUUGUAUAGAUAAUGGAAUUUUGUGAUGCCUAAGGCAGCAGAAUAUUUUUCUGAACUAUUAUAGUGACUGGAUAUUGAAAGCUAUGUACAUAAUCCUUCUACUUAUUUUUUUACAUAAGAGAAACUUGCCUUAAUGAAAGUUAUGUGUAUCUUUAUAUUGUCUGUCCUUUAUACUUCAUGUACUCAGUAGUAACUGACAUUUUUGUUUUUGUAAAUUAAUAGCAGUAUAAAAUCAAGUAUAAUUCUGUGAUGUUUUAAAAGUUUUUUAAUGAAGCUUUUUUGGAGCUCAGUCAUUUGAAGAUUGAAAUAAGCUUUCUCUACAGUGUAUUGGUCAGAGAAAAGAUGUGUUUUCAACUUACAAGAAUGAACUCUUCCUCUUUAUGAUUUUAGAGACAUGGACAUGCAGGAAAGUAGAGGGAGUUGGGGAGAGAAAAUGUGAAUGCGUCCACCUGAAAUGUUGAAUAAAUAAUCAAAUAAC